GACGAACGCUGGCGGCGUGCUUAACACAUGCAAGUCGAACGGAAAGGCCCUGCUUGCAGGGUACUCGAGUGGCGAACGGGUGAGUAACUCGUGGGUGAUCUGCCCUGCACUUCGGGAUAAGCCUGGUAAACUGGGUCUAAUACCGGCUAGGAGCCAUUUUUAGUGUGAUGGUUGGAAAGUUUUUUGGGUGUAGGAUGAGCUCGCGGCCUAUCGGCUUGUUGGUGGGGUAAUGGCCUACCAAGGCGGCGACGGGUAGCCGGCCUGAGAGGGUGGACGGCCACAAUGGGACUGAGGUGCGGCCCAGACUCCGACGGGAGGCAGCAGGGGGGAAUAUUGCACAAGGGGCGCAAGCCUGAUGCAGAGACGCCGCGUGGGGGAAGACGGCCUUCGGGUUGUAAACUACUUUCGCUAGGGACGAAGCUUUUUGUGACGGUACCUAGAUAAGAAGCACCGGCUAACUACGUG
rnacentral:rRNA from 1 species